GACGAACGCUGGCGGCGUGCUUAACACAUGCAAGUCGAACGGAAAGGCCCUGCUUGCAGGGUGCUCGAGUGGCGAACGGGUGAGUAACACGUGGGUGAUCUGCCCCUUACUUUGGGAUAAGCCUGGGAAACUGGGUCUAAUACUGGAUAGGACCAUGCUGUAGGUGGUGUGGUGGAAAGGUUAGUUUCGGUAAGGGAUGAGCUCGCGGCCUAUCAGCUUGUUGGUGGGGUAAUGGCCUACCAAGGCGUCGACGGGUAGCCGGCCUGAGAGGGUGGACGGCCACAUUGGGACUGAGAUACGGCCCAGACUCCUACGGGAGGCAGCAGUGGGGAAUAUUGCACAAUGGGCGCAAGCCUGAUGCAGCGACGCCGCGUGGGGGAUGACGGCCUUCGGGUUGUAAACUCCUUUCGGCCAUGACGAAGCCCUUGUGGUGACGGUAGUGGUAGAAGAAGCACCGGCUAACUACGUGCCAGCAGCCGCGGUAAUACGUAGGGUGCGAGCGUUGUCCGGAAUUACUGGGCGUAAAGAGCUCGUAGGUGGUCUGUCGCGUCAUUUGUGAAAGCCCGGGGCUUAACUCCGGGUUGGCAGGUGAUACGGGCAUGACUGGAGUACUGUAGGGGAGACUGGAAUUCCUGGUGUAGCGGUGAAAUGCGCAGAUAUCAGGAGGAACACCGGUGGCGAAGGCGGGUCUCUGGGCAGUAACUGACGCUGAGGAGCGAAAGCAUGGGUAGCGAACAGGAUUAGAUACCCUGGCAGUCCAUGCCGUAAACGGUGGGCGCUAGGUGUGGGUUUCCUUCCACGGGAUCCGUGCCGUAGCUAACGCAUUAAGCGCCCCGCCUGGGGAGUACGGCCGCAAGGCUAAAACUCAAAGGAAUUGACGGGGGCCCGCACAAGCGGCGGAGCAUGUGGAUUAAUUCGAUGCAACGCGAAGAACCUUACCUGGGCUUGACAUGCACUGGAUGCGGCCAGAGAUGGUUGUUCCCUUUGUGGCUGGUGUGCAGGUGGUGCAUGGUUGUCGUCAGCUCGUGUCGUGAGAUGUUGGGUUAAGUCCCGCAACGAGCGCAACCCUUGUCUCGUGUUGCCAGCAUUUGGUUGGGGACUCGCGGGAGACUGCCGGGGUUAACUCGGAGGAAGGUGGGGAUGACGUCAAAUCAUCAUGCCCCUUAUGUCCAGGGCUUCACACAUGCUACAAUGGCUGGUACAGAGAGUUGCGAUACCGUGAGGUGGGGCUAAUCUCGUAAAGCCAGUCUCAGUUCGGAUUGGAGUCUGCGACUCGACUCCAUGAAGUCGGAGUCGCUAGUAAUCGCAGAUCAGCAAUGCUGCGGUGAAUACGUUCCCGGGCCU
rnacentral:rRNA from 1 species